GGGCUACACACGUGCUACAAUGGGUAGUACAGGGGGUUGCCAAGCCGUAAGGUGGAGCUAAUCCCUUAAAGCUACUCUCAGUUCGGAUUGUAGGCUGAAACUCGCCUACAUGAAGCUGGAGUUACUAGUAAUCGCAGAUUAGAAUGCUGCGGUGAAUGCGUUCCCGGGUCUUGUACACACCGCCCGUCAC
rnacentral:rRNA from 1 species